UACGGGGGGGCAAGCGUUGUUCGGAAUUACUGGGCGUAAAGGGCUCGUAGGCGGCCAACUAAGUCAGACGUGAAAUCCCCUCGGCUUAACCGGGGAACUGCGUCUGAUACUGGAUGGCUAGAGUUUGGGAGAGGGAUGCGGAAUUCCAGGUGUAGCGGUGAAAUUCGUAGAUAUGGGGAGGAACACCGGUGGCGAAGGCGGCCACCUGGACGGUAACUGACGCUGAGACGCGAAAGCGUGGGGAGCAAACAGG
rnacentral:rRNA from 1 species